rnacentral:rRNA from 1 species
CCAAGGAGUCUAACAUGUGUGCGAGUCAUUGGGGAUCUCUCGAGACCCACAGGCGCAAUGAAAGUGAAGGAACAAAUCAAUUGUUCGGAGGCAAGAUGAGUUUGUUAGCGGUGAACCAGUAACGCGGUCACCCGGCUAAGCAUUGUCGACCCGUCGCGAUCGCUUUUAAAAUGUCGAUGCGGCGGAGUGUGAGCAGACACGUUGGGACCCGAAAGAUGGUGAUCUAUGCUUGAGCAGGACGAAGCCAGAGGAAACUCUGGUGGAGGUCCGUAGCGAUUCUGACGUGCAAAUCGAUCGUCGGACUUGAGUAUAGGGGCGAAAGACUAAUCGAACCGUCUA